rnacentral:rRNA from 1 species
ACGAACGCUGGCGGCGUGCUUAACACAUGCCAGUCGAACGGAAAGGCCCUGCUUUUGUGGGGUGCUCGAGUGGCGAACGGGUGAGUAACACGUGAGUAACCUGCCUUGACUUUGGGAUAACUUCAGGAAACUGGGGCUAAUACCGGAUAGGAGCUCCUGCUGCAUGGUGGGGGUUGGAAAGUUUCGGCGGUUGGGGAUGGACUCGCGGCUUAUCAGCUUGUUGGUGGGGUAGUGGCUUACCAAGGCUUUGACGGGUAGCCGGCCUGAGAGGGUGACCGGCCACAUUGGGACUGAGAUACGGCCCAGACUCCUACGGGAGGCAGCAGUGGGGAAUAUUGCACAAUGGGCGGAAGCCUGAUGCAGCAACGCCGCGUGCGGGAUGACGGCCUUCGGGUUGUAAACCGCUUUCGCCUGUGACGAAGCGUGAGUGACGGUAAUGGGUAAAGAAGCACCGGCUAACUACGUG